AAACAAAAAAAAAAAAAAAAAAAAAAAAAAAA
rnacentral:ribozyme from 1 species